CCCGGUCAGUAGUCAAUAUUCCGCGUGUUGACAGUUGACUUGACACUUCACCCGCUUCACCGCCGCCCGGACGUCGCGGAACGCGUCGAGCCGAGUCAAGGUCAGGCUUUAUUUCUCGUUCGGUCGCUCGCGUCGUUGUCGUCGUCGUCGUCGUUGCCUCGAUAUCGCGUCGAGUGGCGCGCGGCACCACGAAGCGUUUAGCUUCGCUCGCGCUGGACGACGGUACACGGUUAUUCCGCGGCUACAGUAACACAGGAACGUGCGUGCGUGCGUGCAUGUGCGCCGAGGCCUGGGAAAGGGAAAGAGGCGAUAAAUUCUCGCGGCGGAUCGAUCGCGCAGUGCAUCGUGUCGUGUGCCACGACGGACGAGGAUGAGGACGAUGAGCGGGAGGAGACGCGUCCUCGCUUUCUAGGUUAGCGCGUAUCCAACCUGGGAACGGCCGUUUUCGUCAUUUCCGUCGUGCGUGCGGUGCGUCAGGAAAAUGCGUCGAGCAGUCUCGAUAACGUUGGUGCCGUUUGCUCGACGAGAGGGCCCGUCGUUGGAUGUUGCCGCCAACGCUGCUACCACUACCACCAUCAACGCGACCGCCACCUCCAUCGUCGCCACCCUUCUCCGCUUCCACUUCCCUUCUCAGACGAUCGUGAGUCCCGCGUUCCCGACUGGAGCGAGGCACGUUAACUCGUUUAUUCCGCGGCCAGGCUGCUUCCUACUCCGUAGGUGGUGCGUAACGAGGCGGCGAAAAGAAAGAAAUAAAAUUAAAAAAGAGAGAACCGCGGGGAUCGAGGGAAGGAGAGUGAGUGAGAGGAAAGGAGACGGAUAAAAAAAGAAAGGGGGUAUGUUAUCGGCCGUUUCCGGGCCCUUUGUCGAUCGCCACGCCUUCGGGACUGCGUUUGCGCCGCGCUGUUUGCGCAACAGUUGGAAGUUGGAAUUUCGCCUCCCCGAAAAUCAGCCCAAGUAAGGAAGGGAGAGGAAUUACGGCUGCCUCUUGUCAUCGUCGUGGACGAAUAUCCAGGAGGAGAGCAGCGACUCGCUGGCUGGCUGGCUGGCUGGCUGGCUGGCUGGCUGGCUGGCUGGCAACCCAUCUCUCAUCCCCCGUCAUCUCGUCCCCCUUCGUUUACAAGUGGGCCGAGACCAUCGUCGACAUCCGUCCGUGAAUCGUGCGCACACAUGGCCGAUUGCCGUACGUUACAUAUACACUUGUACGUGAUGUACAAGUCCGAAGCUGCGUCCUUCCUUGGCGGCUAAUAAGCGAGGCAUUCAUCAUUAUUUGACUAACAGGUGUGGGAAAUUCAUUCAGUUCAGUUCGAUCAUUUUGUACAGUUUACGAAGAACCCCGUACUAAUCGUAUGGAAAAUCUAUCCCGGAAAAAUCAAUUGGUUUUUUCAUAUGUUGUGGUUUAUGACCUACUGAACAAAAGAUGUAAUGGGCACAAAGCUCAAUAAUGGACAGUUAUCGAGUUAUAAUCACUCAAACAUGAAAAAUUUGGGCUGCCGAAUAGUCAAAUCUUGGAAAGUAUUGAUUUUUAGGACAAAUGUUUGAAACGAAAAUAGGGUUUUACAAAAUCUGUUAGCUGGUGACAUUAUUUUUGAAUUGUUCUUCCCUCUAAACACAACUCUAGCUAGAGCCGUCGUCAAGAUCAUUCAAAAUUCAAAAAUAAUGCCACCAGCUAACAGAUUUUGUAAAACCCUGCUAUUUUGUUUCAAACAUUUGUCCAAAAAAUCAAUACUUUCCGAGAUUUGACUAUUCGGCAGCCCGAAUUGUUCAUGUUUAACUGGUUAUAUAACUCGAUAACUCCAUUAUUUAGCUUUGUGCCCAUUAUAUCUUUUGUUCUGUACGUCAUAAGUUACAACAUAUGAAAAAACCAAUUGAUUUUACUGGGAUAGAUUUUCCAUAUGAUUAGUGCGGGGUUCUUUCUCUCUAAUUUACAUCUUAUUGUAUAUAUAUAUGUAUAUAUGUGAAAGUUGGUUCUUUUAUCAAAUUGGCAAGAUUAUGAGAUCGAGAUAGUUUAAGAGACGCCUAAUGAAACUUGAUGAGAAACUCAUAGUCGGAAGGAAGCACGCGAUUUCCGGGUUUUCUCGUAUAUCGCGUUAGGUACCUACAUAUUUGUAUAUCAUUUCAUAAGCUAAAUUUAACAGCUGAUUUGCUCGAAUUAACGGAGUUCGAACGAAGGCGUAGUUGCGUGGUGCGACGUUCAUUUUGCUUGUCUUUUCCACAAUAAUGUUUCUUUUUAUUUUCCUUCUUAAAUGUUCUAUCAUGCAAUUCGUUAAUAAAUCAAAAUUCAAUUGUGUACGUGGAAAUAUUUUUCACAUUACUGAAAGCGUCGUCAUACGCAACACGCUGCUUCACGCAUUUUUUGAGAUGCAUCCGACGCAUUCAUACCGAGAUCCCAUUUUUUACGCAUUGUUAAACGUUAAACGCCUUUUUUGCAAAAUUAUGCGACUUUUUCCAUCGAGGUACCCAUUUGGCCUAUCAUUAUGCAUCAAUAUACUUACUGAUUGCACAUUUAGCGACAAAAUUGUAAGAUUUUUUUUCAACCUACACUCCAAUCUGGCAUCGCAGAUUAAUGAUCGGCUUUGUUAUCCCGAUCUUUAUCCGAUACACUUGUAUCGGCGUCGUCGACGUAGAUCGAUACGCGAAUGAUAGAUAGUAAGAGAAGUCAUGGAAAAAAAAAAUCACCAGUAAGAAUGGCAGCCCCCUUUCUCCUCCCAUCCCAUUACACGAGACUGCCGUACAAUUUGGAUAUUCAAUGGACAUUCUUCAAUGUCCCUCGAAUGUCACACAUGUAGCACGUAUAUCCGGUGGAUGUUCUUAAAAUCCCGUUUAUCUAGAUUUCUGAAUAUUCAGAUUCAUUUCAUUAUACCUAUUCUACUCUCUUUUCUACUCCGAAUAUGCAUCAUGCAAAUUGAUUAUUUAAAAUUUAUUAAUCGUAUAAUAUUUUUCGCAGGAACAUGCAUGUAGAAAGUCAUGAAUAACAAUGGUAAUAUACAUUAAAUUGAGAAUUCAGAAAGAACCCCGCAUAAUUUUAUGUAAAAUAAAUAUCGGUUAAUCAAUUUUUUUUUAUCUUAUAUGUUGUAACUAAUAGCCUCUGCGCUAUGUUACAUGUUUUUUUUUUACAAUGAAGUCAUAAACUGCAACAUGAGAAAACCAGCAGAUUAUACGAAGAUUUAAUUUUAUAUAGGGAUUGGUGCAGAAUUUUUGAAUUUUUAUAUUGAAAUCCUAGAUAAAAUAAAAUCCCAAUAAAAUCAGCUGACUUCCUCGUAUGCUGUAGCUUAAAAUCUGAAGAAGAAAAUGUAUAGUUACUGAUCGUAAAUCUGUCAAACAUGGAAAAACUCGGACUUUGCGAGUUGUUUAACUAUAGCUCUAAUUCAAUAAUAGUCCAUUAUUUAGCUUUGGAGGCUAUUGAAUCUUUUGUUCGGCAGAGCUACGACAUACGAAAAAACUACCUGAUUUAAUCCAUUUUACAUAAGAUUAGUGCGGGAUACUUAAACAUCCCAGCGCUGGAUAUCCGUGCCGAGCUCGGCAGGGCCGAUCGACAAAGACACAUACGACAUGCACACUCACACACAUACACGGCAGCCAACGCACUUUCCUCCGUCCGUCGGGUUGUGAGAGACCCGGCAAUUCCGCCGCUUCUUCGUCGUCGCGCCAUUCGACAAUCCGAUCGAAGCGCCAGCAAUUUUUCCAGAGCGGCGGAAUCGCGGAGUCGCCACCCCGAUUGCUGUUCUCCGUUGAGCCCCUCGCGCUGCCAUGUAGUGCACAACACGAUCGGGGCCUGUUGAGAGAAGGGCAGAAUGAGCGAAGCAUCAGCGGCGGCCUUGAGGCUGAGUAGCAGCCAAUCCCAAGCCCCCGCACGCUAAAGGAGGUGGCGCGGGAUUGGCUGAACGUUCUUCCAACCGCGACUUCCCGGACGCUUCCGGUCGGGACCAACGCAGCCCGAUCCUUGAGCUGGGAAGACGAAAGUUUCAUUCUGAUGACGAAGUCGUUGAAGCGGUGCAAAAGUGGUUGCGCACAAAGUUUCUUCCAGGAAUUCAAAAGCUCAUUAAGAAGUGGACUAAGUGCAUAGAAAUGG